rnacentral:rRNA from 1 species
AUUGAACGCUGGCGGCAUGCUUUACACAUGCAAGUCGAACGGUAACAGGCCGCAAGGUGCUGACGAGUGGCGAACGGGUGAGUAAUGCAUCGGAACGUGCCCAGUCGUGGGGGAUAACGCAGCGAAAGCUGCGCUAAUACCGCAUACGAUCUCUGGAUGAACGCGGGGGACCGAAAGGCCUCGCGCGAUUGGAGCGGCAGAUGUCAGAUUAGGUAGUUGGUGGGGUAAAGGCCCACCAAGCCCACGAGGUGUAGCUGGUCUGAGAGGACGACCAUCGACACUGGGAAUGAGGCACGGCCCAGACACCGACGGGAGGCAGCACGGGAGAAUUUUGGACAAGGGGCGCAAGCCUGAUCUAGCAAUGCCGCGUGCAGGAAGAAGGCCUUCGGGUGGGAAAAUGCUUAUGUACGGAACGAAACGGUCCGGGUUAAUACCCUGGGCUAAUGACGGUACCGUAAGAAUAAGCACCGGCUAACUACGUGCCAGCCGCCGCCGUAACAC